rnacentral:lncRNA from 1 species
AGAGAGAGAGAGAGAGAGCAACAGUGGUGAUGCCCUGGCAUUGGGCAGGGCAGGAGUGUGGGAUAGGGUCUACUAGAAUGAAUUAUCUGCUGCAUCAUGGAAGAGUCAGGCGGGAGCAUGGCCACUUGGGCUUUUAAAGCUUAGGCUUGGCUUGGCUUUGCUUGCUCCAACCCAGCCCAUCCCGGCCAGCCAGCCAGCCAUUGUUGGUUAUAGCUCAUCACAUGGUGCUCUUGUGGAUCCAAUAUCUAUCUUGAAAUUUGGGCUAGAUUCCACAGAGAGAGUGGGGGAUAGAAGAGAAGAGAGGGAGAGAAAAAGAGAGACAGAGAGGGAGAUAUUUUCUUUUCUUUUCAAGAAAAAACAUAGAGGAAUUAAAGUUAAAAUUUUGGUGUUGUAUUUGUUGGUAUUGCCUAUCCCCCCAAUAAAUAAAUGAAUGAAGGUCUCAUUUUCUUA